UAACCUGAGAAACCCGAAAGUUCGAAUGAAAAGAUUCAAUAUUCUUCAAUUGGUUGUACAUUUACAUAUGUGAUUAUAUGUGAUAGUUUUGUGUUAAUUUCUUUAUCCUUCACGGGAUUUGGAAUGUACACAUAUUCUACACCACUUUGUUUAUGAACUAAAUACAACUAUGAAGGUAUGCACUUCUUUUCUAGUAGGACGUUGCGACCCAUUGAAUGUUAAUCUACGGCUACUCGUUAGAGCCUAUUCCCAUUUUACUUAAUUGUAUUUAUGGGAAAUAGAUUUCUGAGUGUGUCCCGAAUAACUGUUCGAUGGUAUUAUAAAACCAUAAUAUUGGAUCGCCAUUCGUGGCAUUUGGUAUUCAUUCAAGUAUGUAAGGUAAUUUGAAUGUCAGGGGCUAUUGUACUGGCUUUGAAUCCUAACUACUGUUAGAGUGAAAUUUACUAUCAAAUAGUAUCCUUUUAUUGGUCAGCAACGCUGUUGCUUUGGGUACUUUCAGGAC
rnacentral:rRNA from 1 species